GACGAACGCUGGCGGCGUGCUUAACACAUGCAAGUCGAACGGAAAGGCCCUGCUUUUGUGGGGUGCUCGAGUGGCGAACGGGUGAGUAACACGUGAGUAACCUGCCCUUGACUUUGGGAUAACUUCAGGAAACUGGGGCUAAUACCGGAUAGGAGCUCCUGCUGCAUGGUGGGGGUUGGAAAGUUUCGGCGGUUGGGGAUGGACUCGCGGCUUAUCAGCUUGUUGGUGGGGUAGUGGCUUACCAAGGCUUUGACGGGUAGCCGGCCUGAGAGGGUGACCGGCGACAUUGGGACUGAGAUACGGCCCAGACUCCUACGGGAGGCAGCAGGGGGGAAUAUUGCACAAUGGGCGGAAGCCUGAUGCAGCAACGCCGCGUGCGGGAUGACGGCCUUCGGGUUGUAAACCGAUUUCGCCUGUGACGAAGCGUGAGUGACGGUAAUGGGUAAAGAAGCACCGGCUAACUACGUG
rnacentral:rRNA from 1 species